UACGGAGGGGGCUAGCGUUGUUCGGAAUUACUGGGCGUAAAGCGCGCGUAGGCGGACCUGCAAGUCGGGGGUGAAAGCCCUCGGCUUAACCGAGGAAGUGCAUUCGAAACUACCGGACUUGAAUACUGGAGAGGGUCGCGGAAUUCCCGGUGUAGAGGUGAAAUUCGUAGAUAUCGGGAGGAACACCAGUGGCGAAGGCGGCGACCUGGACAGAUAUUGACGCUGAGGUGCGAAAGCGUGGGGAGCAAACAGG
rnacentral:rRNA from 1 species